UAGAGUUUGAUCCUGGCUCAGAUUGAACGCUGGCGGCAGGCCUAACACAUGCAAGUCGAGCGGAUGAGUGGAGCUUGCUCCAUGAUUCAGCGGCGGACGGGUGAGUAAUGCCUAGGAAUCUGCCUGGUAGUGGGGGAUAACGUUUCGAAAGGAACGCUAAUACCGCAUACGUCCUACGGGAGAAAGUGGGGGAUCUUCGGACCUCACGCUAUCAGAUGAGCCUAGGUCGGAUUAGCUAGUUGGUGGGGUAAUGGCCCACCAAGGCGACGAUCCGUAACUGGUCUGAGAGGAUGAUCAGUCACACUGGAACUGAGACACGGUCCAGACUCCUACGGGAGGCAGCAGUGGGGAAUAUUGGACAAUGGGCGAAAGCCUGAUCCAGCCAUGCCGCGUGUGUGAAGAAGGUCUUCGGAUUGUAAAGCACGUUAAGUUGGGAGGAAGGGCAGUAAGUUAAUACCUUGCUGUUUUGACGUUACCAACAGAAUAAGCACCGGCUAACUUCGUGCCAGCAGCCGCGGUAAUA
rnacentral:rRNA from 1 species